GCCCGGCUGGCUUAGUUGGUAGAGCAUGUGACUCUUGAUCUUGGGGUCAUGAGUUCAAGCCCUAUGUUGAGUG
rnacentral:tRNA from 1 species